rnacentral:rRNA from 1 species
AUGAACGCUGGCGGCGUGCCUCAUACCUGCCAGUCGAGCGAACAGACGAGGAGCUUGCUCCUCUGACGUUAGCGGCGGACGGGUGAGUAACACGUGGAUAACCUACCUAUAAGACUGGGAUAACUUCGGGAAACCGGAGCUAAUACCGGAUAAUAUAUUUAACCGCAUGGUUCAAUAGUGAAAGACGGUUUUGCUGUCACUUAUAGAUGGAUCCGCGCCGCAUUAGCUAGUUGGUAAGGUAACGGCUUACCAAGGCAACGAUGCGUAGCCGACCUGAGAGGGUGAUCGGCCACACUGGAACUGAGACACGGUCCAGACUCCUACGGGAGGCAGCAGUAGGGAAUCUUCCGCAAUGGGCGAAAGCCUGACGGAGCAACGCCGCGUGAGUGAUGAAGGUCUUCGGAUCGUAAAACUCUGUUAUUAGGGAAGAACAAAUGUGUAAGUAACUAUGCACGUCUUGACGGUACCUAAUCAGAAAGCCACGGCUAACUACGUG